rnacentral:rRNA from 1 species
GUAAAGCGAGCGCAGGCGGUUCUUUAAGUCUGAUGUGAAAGCCCCUGGCUCAACCAGGAAGGGUCAUUGGAAACUGGAGAACUUGAGUGCAGAAGAGGAAAGUGGAAUUCCAUGUGUAGCGGUGAAAUGCGUAGAUAUAUGGAGGAACACCAGUGGCGAAGGCGACUUUCUGGUCUGUAACUGACGCUGAGGCUCGAAAGCAUGGGGAGCAAACAGGAUUAGAUACCCUGGUAGUCCAUGCCGUAAACGAUGAGUGCUAAGUGUUGGAGGGUUUCCGCCCUUCAGUGCUGCAGCUAACGCAUUAAGCACUCCGCCUGGGGAGUACGACCGCAAGGUUGAAACUCAAAGGAAUUGACGGGGGCCCGCACAAGCGGUGGAGCAUGUGGUUUAAUUCGAAGCAACGCGAAGAACCUUACCAGGUCUUGACAUCCUUUGACCACUCUAGAGAUAGAGCUUUCCCUUCGGGGACAAAGUGACAGGUGGUGCAUGGUUGUCGUCAGCUCGUGUCGUGAGAUGUUGGGUUAAGUCCCGCAACGAGCGCAACCCUUAUUAUUAGUUGCCAGCAUUCAGUUGGGCACUCUAGUGAGACUGCCGGUGAUAAACCGGAGGAAGGUGGGGAUGACGUCAAAUCAUCAUGCCCCUUAUGACCUGGGCUACACACGUGCUACAAUGGAUGGUACAACGAGUCGCAAAAUCCGCGAGGUUAAGCUAAUCUCUUAAAGCCAUUCUCAGUUCGGAUUGUAGGCUGCAAUUCGCCUACAUGAAGCCGGAAU